CUUAAAUACAUAUAUAAAUAACGAUGUCCGCAAACAGCCAACGGUCAAAUAAGGACCAUACUGCUAACUUCGCCAAAAAAGAAACUGCCAAACUGGUGAUGCUUCUCAAGGAUUACACAGUCGUAACCUGCAAACAACUGAUCACUGCAGCAAUCUACAAAAAGAUGCAGCUUGGAAAUCUCUGUGACGUUUUCAACUCAGAUGGGUCUAGACACCGAAGUGUUAAAUUUAAUAUACAUUUAAUGAAGGUGUAGGCACAUUUUUAUAUUUAUUCUUGUAUAGCUGUGUCCUACAACAAAAGGAAAAAAUCUUUUAACCCUUUGGAAACAAUGAAGCGGAUUAUGAUCCACACGGAUAAAAAAAAAUUGAGUUUUUGAAACAAAGACAAAUAAGAGAGGAUGAUUUGUUAAAUUAUGCUAAGGAAGAGCAUCAAAAACAUUUGCUGCACCAAUGAGAGGCCCA